AUGCUGGAAGUUUGAGAAUAUACUUAGCAUGCUUUUUCAUCUCGGGAAGAAAAGAACUGGCAAGUUGGAAGUCCUUCCAGUUAUGAAUAGUAAGAUGUUUCAAGAAAGAAUUAAGAAGCAGCUCAAAGUGCAAGUGGAAUGAAGGUGCUUAGAGAUACAGAUUUAUAAUGCAUUUUAGAAAAAAAAUAGCGCUCUAUUUAUAGAGCCUGUCCAUAAAUCUACCGUUUAGUAUUGUAGUAAUAUAUUUAAGAUAUUAUGAUCUUUGAAAUUAGAUUUACUAGUAACACAGCAGUGUGUAUAGUAAAUAGAUUGAAUAUGGGGUUUGCCACAAACCAGCUUCAUCUUACUCUUUGAUUUUUGGCACUCUUUGUCUUUUUUGCUGCCAACAAAAAGGUGUUAUCAUGAAUAAAAACAGCAUUUAAGAUAAAUAAAAAUUCACCAUCAUAUUAUAAUUAAUUGAAAAAGAGAAGUGGACGUUACUUUCCAACUUUCUACCUGAAAUCAUGGUUGAGGAAGAAUUUUAAAAUAAAUUUAAAUUUUUUAAUUUAAAUUUUAAUUGUGUACAGACACUGGCAUGUCAUUUUUCAUGUCAUUACUGUUUAAAAUUAUAAGGCACACCAGCAUUCCUUAACAAGUAUUUAGAAAUGUAACUAUUAGAGCUAUUGUUGUAUUCUGUGAAAAAUAUGUGAUUAUAAAUACAACAUUCAGGUCCUAUGUAAGAUGGUAUAAAACUAAUAUGAGAUUGAAGUAUAUCAUAAAUCUGUCCUUAUAAUUUUGCCUCUACAACUCUUUGAAAAUAAUUAUAAUAAAUAUAGAGAUACUCUAAAAUAUAAUAAAUAAAAGUGAUUACUUUCUCCCUCAACUUUAAACUUUCUGCUAUGGUAAAGCUAAGAAGCAGGACUGUAUAUGCUAAAUAUUUUAUUAAAAGUUAAUGGCUUGAGAUAUUUCUCAAAUACAUUUUAUCUAGACAAAAAUGUAUUAGAAAAGCUACAGUGUGUCCCACCCACCUUUAUCCUCUUCAUCUUGCCUACAAAGUAGAUUCCGAGAGAUCAACAUCCUAAGAAGAAUUUGAAUUUCAGCAUAGAGAUUAAUAGAAAGUACUAAGUUCUUAAAAAGAAUGAGUCUCAUCAAAACACCUUCACAUUGAACCCUGCAAAAGUUGGUAUUAUUUAAAAUUAAAAUGUAGGCUGCUAUCUGCCUUCUUUUAUACCUUGUUAGCAGACUAAGAAUAAUGCUUAGCUUAAAUAUGGUCUGUUAUUACAGAGAAUAUGCUUCUAGAAGUAAUAGUUCUAUGAAACAGUGACAAGAUGAUAAAAAUCAUGAACCCUUGUAUUUGGAUGCUGUUAAAUAUAAUUUAACAAGGUGUCUUUAGACAUGAGUAACUCUUUAGACAGAGUUGUGGUGUUUGAAUAUGCCUGGCCCAGGGAGUGGCACUAUUUAGAGGUGUGGCCUUGUUGGAGGAAAUAAGCCACUGUGGACAUGGGCUUUAAAACCCUCAUCCUAGCUGCCUAGAAGCCAGUAUUCUGCUACCUGCCUUUGGUAAAAGAGGUGUGACUCUCAGCUCCUCUAGCCCCAUAUCUGCCUUCUUCCCGGACAGUGCCAUGCUCCCACCUUGAUGAUAAUAGACUGAACCUCUGAACCUGUAACCCAGCCCCAAUUAAAUGUCCUUUAUAAGAGUUGAUUUGGUUUUCCUUCUGGCUUGGGUCAGUUUACUUUGCACAUGACUCCACAGACAGUCCCAUAAGACCCAGAGGAAACUCCACUCCGUGGCUUUCUAAUAUGCCCAAGAUUAAAGGAUCAGAGUUGAGGAGGACAUAGCACCUGUCCCAACACCACCUGGAGUAACUGGGACCAGCAGGAUCCAGGGGCACAGGAACCCUGCCUGACCAGUGACUUGGGUUCCUUCAAGUCUGAGAAGGUGCUCUGAGCAGACUUUGGGCACAAACUUCAUAGUCAGUCCCACAACACCAAGAGGAAGCUUCACUCCCAGGUGCUCUAACACACCCAGGAUCCCACAAUCCCACGAGCCAACAAUCCCACGAUCUCACAGUCCCACGAUCCCAGGAUUCCAGGAGCUUGGUCAUACCAGGAUCUCAGGGCCCGAGAGGCAGCUUGACUCCCAGGAACUCUGACACAUCGAGGGUCUGAGGAUUACAGGAUCCAAAAUCACAGGAUCACAGAGACAGCUGGAUAGACUCUGAGAAGUUCUGACACAACCAGGAUAACAGUAAGUAUAGGCUCCAGUCAGAUUAUAGCGAGGGCAGGUAGCACUAGAGAUAAUCAGAUGGUGGGAGGCAAGCUUAAGAACAUAAGCAACAGAAACCAAGGUUACUUAGCAUCAUAAGAACCCAAUUCUCCACCAUAGCAAGGCCUGGAUACACCAUCACACCAACAACUAAAAAUUAUCAAAAAAAAUUAAUAAGGAAGGACACUUCAUACCAAUCAAAGGACAAAUAUACCAAGAUGAACUCUCAAUUCUGAACAUCUAUGCUCCAUAUGCAAGGGCACCCAAUUUAUAAAAGAAACUUUACUAAAGCUCAAAGCAUACAUCACACCCCACUCAAUAAAAGAAGGAGACAUCAACACCCUACUCUUAGCAAUGGGCAGAUCAUUGAAACAGAAACUAAACUGAGACAGUGAAACUAACAGAAUUUAUUAACCAAAUGGAUCUAACAGAUAUUUAUAGAACAUUUCACCCUAAAGCAAAAGAACACUCACUGGAACACUAUCCAAUUCAUUCUAUGAAACCACCUCAUGGUACCUUCUAUAAAAUUGACCAUAUUGGUCACAAAGCAGGCCUCAACAGAUACAAGAAGAUUGAAAUAAUUCCAUGCACCCUAACAGAUCAUCAUGGACUAAGGCUGGUCUUAAAUUCCAACAAAAACACACAUACUAAUGGAAGAUGAACAAUGUUCUACUCAAUGAUAACUUGGUCAAGGAAGAAAUAAAGAAAGAAAUGAAAGACAUUAUAAAAUUUAAUGAAAAUAAAAAUACACCAUACCAAGACUUAUGGGUCACAAUGAAAGCAGUGGUAAGAUGAAAACUCAUAGUUCUAAGUGCUUCCAAAAGGAAACUAGAGAAAGCUUACACUAGCAGCUUGAUAGCACACUUGGAAGCUCUAAAACAAAAGGAAGCAAAUUCAACCAAGAAGAGUAAACUGGAGGAAACAAUCAAACUCAGGGCUGAAAUCAACCAAAUAGAAACAAAAAGAACUAUAAAAAGAAUCAAAAAAACCAGGAGAUGGUUCUUUGAGAAAAUCAACAAGAUAGAUAAACCCUUAGCCAGACUAACCAGAGAGCACAGAGACAGUAUCCAAAUUAAUAAAACCAGAAAUGAACAGGGAGCGAUAACAAUGGAAACUGAAAAUUCAAAUAAUCAUCAGAUCCUACUACAAAAGCUUAUACAUAACAAAAUCAGAAGAUCUGGUUGAAAUGGACAAUUUUCUAGACAGAUACCAGGAGCCAAAUUUAAAACAGGAUCAGAUUAACCAUCUAAACAGUUCCAUAACCCUUAAAGAAGCAGAAGCAGUCAUUAAUAGUCUCUCAACCAAAAAAUCCAGGACCAGAUGGGUUUAGUGGAGAAUCCUAUCAGACUUUCAAAGACCUAAUGCCAGUAAUCAUCAAACUAUUUCACAAAAUAGAAACAGAAGGAACACUAUCCAAUUCAUUUUAUGAAACCACAAUUACGCUUAUACUUAUACC
rnacentral:lncRNA from 1 species